rnacentral:rRNA from 1 species
GCGUCGGGUACGUMGGCGGCUKAGUYAAAUUAUAGMGAAAGACUCAGGAARCUCCUGUUUAACCUAUAUCCAUUAAUAAGCUGAGUUAUGAAGACGAUUUAUUGAAUUCCUGAAGUAAGGGUAAAAUUGUUGAUAUUGGAAGACAUUCGAAGGCGAAAGCAUUCAUGAUUUAUAUCUGACGCUAGGUACGAAAGUAUGGGUAUGAAAAAGGAUUAGAGACCUUGUAGUCCAUACCUUAAACUAUGAGUGUUAACGUCCUACUAGAAAGGUUAUAUCUUAUAUGUAACCCGGAAUUUUAGGGGGUUAAAGCUAACGCGUGAAACACCGCCUGGGGAAUGUGGCCGCWWRGUUAAACUCAAAG